CUCAGCAGGUAGCUGUCUUCACUCUGCAUCGGGGCUGAAAUACUGUUCAGCAUGGUGUUAGAUGGCACUGUGCAUUGCCUUGCUUUUCCAGAAUGAUUCUUUGGAGUCAUUAAAGUUCCACAUAAAACUGUAGAUUAUAGUUGUUAAAUUCAAAAUCCUGACCAUGUUCCUAUUGCAAGUAGCUUACACUCUCCUUACUUAAUUUCCUCCUGAACUUUCAUACUGAAUACUUUCGUCUUUAGCUUUCUGUCUUGUACAGCACAAAACACACUGUCAGUACUUAUUAAAUCAAUAGAAAAACUACUACUUUAUUCACAUCCAGUAUUUAACUCUUCUGUAACAUUACUAAGCGUGUAAAUUGCUACCACGUUCCACCUCUGGAGAUGAUUUCGUUGGUGACAGCAAUGAGAAAUACAGUUUACUUGAAGCUGCAGCAGAAUUCAGACGUGGGAUAUUACAAUAAAAAGGGCGCUUACUGCAGAAUGUAGGUCUACCUUGCUGCAGAGUAGGAAGAGUCCUGACUAUAACUAAUAUUCCAAAGAUGCAACCUUGAGAUCUCAGCUGCCCGUGUUAUCACCGGCAGAAAGACUCCAAAGAAUCAGAAAAAGGCCACAUAGAAGCAAGGAAGACAUGUUGCAUGAAGUAAUGCAGCAUUCAAGUAAUGAAAAUCACAAAGUGCAGGAGUGGCAGGACAGUGAAAGGAGGAUCCGCCAGCAGAAUGAGGAGCGCCGGCACAAAAGCGUGGUGCUCCGGCAGCAAAGUAUGGACUGGCUCAUAAGCAUAAUAGUCUCUAUCCAGGCGCUUGUAGCCAUGCAGGUGGAGCACUACAGCGCCCGCCCCUCCCUGCAGCCCUUGUCCCAAAAUUCUUUCCCUUAUGCCCCCAUGUCACCUCCAACCCACUUUCCCCAACAUCCAAGUUCUUACCGCCACCAGCUGCCUCCAACACUUAUAGCCUUCACCACCCAACCCUGAAAACUACGACCCUUACACACUGCACUCAACCCCCAUCACCAUGCAUUUUAGCCAGCCUAAAUUGCAGUACUCAUUGAAUGGCACUCCAGACAGGAAGGAUGAGUAUAACACCA